UAACCUGACCCAAGAGAUCGGGAUAACACCUGGAAACAGAUGCUAAUACCGGAUAACAACAGAUGAUGCCUAUCAACUGUUUAAAAGAUGGUUCUGCUAUCACUCUUGGAUGGACCUGCGGUGCAUUAGCUAGUUGGUAGGGUAACGGCCUACCAAGGCGAUGAUGCAUAGCCGAGUUGAGAGACUGAUCGGCCACAUUGGGACUGAGACACGGCCCAAACUCCUACGGGAGGCAGCAGCC
rnacentral:rRNA from 1 species